UAUUGCGCAAUGGACGAAAGUCUGACGCAGCCACGCCGCGUGCAGGAAGACACCCCUCAGGGGCGUAAACUGCUUUUAUACGGGAAGAACACCCUGGUCGCCAGGGAUUGACGGUACCGUAUGAAUAAGGACCGGCUAACUCCGUGCCAGCAGCCGCGGUAAUACGGAGGGUCCAAGCGUUGUUCGGAAUCACUGGGCGUAAAGCGCGCGCAGGCGGGACCUGCAAGUCGGGAGUGAAAGGCCGGGGCUCAACCCCGGAGCUGCUUUCGAGACUGCGGACCUGGAGACCAGUAGGGGUUGGUGGAAUUCCCGGUGUAGCGGUGGAAUGCGUAGAUAUCGGGAAGAACACCCGUGGCGAAGGCGGCCAACUGGGCUGGAUCUGACGCUGAGGCGCGAAAGCGUGGGGAGCAAACA
rnacentral:rRNA from 1 species